GAGGCGUCCUCUUCUGCGAUACGCGGGAGCCGGGGCUGUGGAGGCUUCUGGUUCUAGACUGGUGCCUCAGAGCAGGCUCCCUCUGUCUCCAUAGCAGACCGCUGUCCUCGUGAUGCCCGCACCUCCUUCCUGUUCCAGGCAGCAAAUUGGCCAGUGGGCCUGUGACCCCCAAACUUCUCAUCUAUGCGGGAGUCGUGACAUCUGAGCAUAUAUGACCCUGAAAGAUCAGCUGGGAGACAUCUUGGCAACCCACUCCAGUACUCUUGCCUGGAAAAUCCCGUGGACGGAUGGACC